GAUGAACGCUAGCUACAGGCUUAACACAUGCAAGUCGAGGGGCAUCAUGGGAGUUGCUUGCAACUUCUGAUGGCGACCGGCGCACGGGUGAGUAACGCGUAUCCAACCUUCCCAUGAGUAGUGCAUAGCCCGGCGAAAGUCGGAUUAAUUCACUAUAUGUGGCAUUUCGGCAUCUUUAUGUCACGAAAGAUUCAUCGCUCAUGGAUGGGGAUGCGUCUGAUUAGGCAGUCGGCGGGGUAACGGCCCACCGAGCCAUCGAUCAGUCGGGGUUCUGAGAGGAAGGUCCCCCACACUGGUACUGAGACACGGACCAGACUCC
rnacentral:rRNA from 1 species